rfam:Schistosoma curassoni strain Dakar, Senegal genome assembly, scaffold: SCTD_scaffold0000118
GAACUGUUGAGGAGUCCCACAAUAGGACGAAACGGCCGUUCAGUGC